rnacentral:rRNA from 1 species
UACGGAGGAUGCAAGCGUUAUCCGGAAUUAUUGGGCGUAAAGGGUCCGCAGGUGGCAGUGUAAGUCUGCUGUCAAAGAAUGAGGCUUAACCUUAUCAAGGCAGUGGAAACUACACAGCUAGAGUACGGUCGGGGUAGAAGGAAUUCCUGGUGUAGCGGUGAAAUGCGUAGAGAUCAGGAAGAACAUCGGUGGCGAAAGCGCUCUACUGGACCGCAACUGACACUCAGGGACGAAAGCUAGGGGAGCGAAUGGG